rnacentral:tRNA from 1 species
AAAAUUAGUUAAUAUUUAUAACACGACCUUGUCAAGAUCGAAUAAUCAAAUAAUUGAUAUUUUA